UACAGCCAUAUCACAUUGAAACACUAGUUUUCGUACGAUCACCAAAGUUAAGCAAUGUCGAGUCUGCUCAGUACCUAGAUGGGUGACUGCUUGGAAUACCAGGUGUUGUAA